GUGGGGAUGCCGGAGCGGCCAAACGGGCAGCCUUUAAGCGGCUGUGGCUUUUGCCUACGGGGGUUCGAAUCCUCCUCCCCACA
rnacentral:tRNA from 1 species